GAGUUGAGAGUAUAUUAUGGAGAGAGUAAGGAUUGAUAGUGUAGAGAUUAGAGAGAGAUUAGAGUGAGAGAGAGAUCAAAGGCAUUAAUUGCCAAUAUUCUUUAAGAUUUGCAAAAUCUCUAUAAGAUCAUCUAAAUCUUGCAAAUCCAUUCAUAUCUCUCAAGCAACUCUCUCUCUCCUUCAUCCUCACCAAUCGGCCACCUCUCUCUCUCCUUUCUCUCUCAUAAUUCCUCCAUUGUCAACCAUUGGAGAGACCUCCGAAGCUUCACCAAAAUAUGCCAAACACAUAAAUCACCAACAAAAUUCCACCUAAACACCUCCUAUCAACUUGAAUCCAAGGAAAUCCUUGAAGAUUGGCUUCAAGACUAGUGAGAGAAAGUUUGUUUGUUGGUGAAAAACUUGAACACGAGCAGAGCAGGGAAGUAAGUAACUCCGCUUUGACGGGAGUUUUUGAGUAAGGUCUUCAGACUAAGCGAGGAGCGAGAUUGGUCUGGUGCUGGCGGGGAAAUGUUGGAGGAUGUAUUUACUUUAUCGUAUUUCCAUUUUGACGAUAAAGUCUUGAUGAUUGAUAUACUUUAAUUUUCUUUUGAAGUUAAGCAAUGUACUCACGGUUAUAUGUCUUCAUACAUAUAAUCGGUUCGCCUUUUGCUGCGAUACUCUGCAUAUUAUGAUUCCUUACGAAAAAUGAGCGAUACCCGUUUUGUUUUUGUUCGUGAAAUUCCUGAUAAUUAAAAAGUUAUAACGACAUUGACGAUUUUA